CCCGCAUAAUUUAAAACCAUCUGCAGUAUUAUUAUUACUAUUCAUUUGAAUUAAAGAAUACUGUUACUAUUCGUAUAAUCACCUCUUAACAAUGUAACUAUAUGUUGAGCUGAAACCAAUAUUAUACAGCAUGUUAUAUCUACCAUAACGUAUGCUAUUAUGUCAUGGUACAUUGUAUCUUCAUAAUUUCUUAUUUUACAUUAUUUAGGAAGCAAACUAUAAAAAACCAUAUACGACUUGUAAUUAAUAUAGCUAUAAUAUACGGAUUGCGGUUUUGGAAUAAUUUCGUAUCAUCUUUAGCUGGUUUCGUCAUGAUGAAUUAUAUCAUCUAAUGGUAAAAACACAAUAAAUGUAUAAGUUCUGCAGCAAGUGUAUGUUCAACUUCAAAUAUAGAGCAAAAUUUAUUUAUCGUGCAGUUGUUGUGGAAUUUGUUGAACCAGACUGAUUUUUUUCUUCGGUUUUCCCGGUUUUCCGAGUUUUUUCUUCGUUUUUUGGGCUGAAAAACAAAGUUCCCAACAGCUCCUGUGUAAAAAUGGAGAAGAUUGACAAGGCCUUCUGGAUUUAAGCCAUAAACAUUGGGCAAUAAAGGAGUUUCUCGGAUCCCCAUACGACCAAGACAGACGAAACUGUUUCAUGAAACUAAAAACCUUAAAACUAAGUGCUGUUAAAAUAUCAUAAAUGUAACUACGUUUGUGAUAAAAAUAUGCAUUCUUCAAUUUUCUGUACAAUAAAUAUAUU